GUUGGCUCAAAAAAUCCACAGACAAAAUGGGUGAAAAUGAGUAUCUUGGAAAUGGUGUGUUGCAUCCUCUUGGUCCUGAGCACUCUGCCUCCUCGUGCUGCUCCUGGAGCCACCACUGAAUCAGGCAAACACAUUUCUUUUCUUUCAUUUUUUUUUGUUUUGGUUUGGUUUGGUUUUUGGUUUUUGAUUUUUGUUUUUUUUUUUUUCUCAAUCAUUUUAGGAAGUUUAUUUGCCAAAGGUAAGAAUGCGAGCCUGGGAGACAGGUCUAUGCCUUUCUCCAAAGAUGAUUCUGAGGGCUCCAAAUUUAAAGGGGAAAGGGCAGGAUAUUGCAAAGUACACAAUUUUCACGUAAGAGGGGGCUAGGAAAAAUUAGUCAUUCGUGCCUUUGUCUGGCUCAAUAAAUCUGCAUUUUUUUUAUGUAAGAUGACAUAGACAAAUAAGGCAGAGGAAAAAGGCAGGCAAUCUGCAUUUUACAUAAGAUAACAUAGACAAAAUGGGGCAGGGAAAUAAUCAGAUAGGCAUUUGGGUCAGUUGGGCAGGAGGAUGGCUGCACCUGUAAAGAUAAGCUAUCAAUUUGCAUUGCCAUGGUGAAAUUUUAACAGAAACACCUUAGAGUAAAGAUCUUGCAGCUCACCAGGAAUUUACUUGUAGGCAAAAUAUGGGGGAGACAUGUAGCUUUUCAUCUUGUAGCCAUCUUAUUUAGGAAUGAAAAACGGGGAGGCAGGUUUGGGUGACCCCGUCCCUAGCUCCACUUUUCCCUUUGGCUUAAUGAGUUUGGGGUCCCAAGAUUUAAUUUCCUUUCACAAUAUCAUUCUAUUCUAAGCCACUGAAAUGUGUUAACUCAUUUAAUCCUCACAACAACCUUGUAAGAGAAGUAUAUGAUUACUUCCAGUUUAUAAUACAAAUGAAGAAAUCAAAGCCCAGACAGAAUAAGUAACUUGCCCAAGGUCAUGCAACUGGUAAGCCACUGAAUUUGAACCCAGGAAAUUUGACUUCAAAGACCACAUUCUUAAUUACCACACUCAACUUCUCAACUGCACCAUCCUAAGACCCAGACAUCAACCUUCAUCUGUUAGCCAGUUAGAACAAUUCAAAUUAUCCUGGUUGAGUGGCCUGGAUGUCACUACAGAUGCGAUAUUGCCUUUGUUUACAAUCCCAUUGUCUAAGCUUCAUAAGGCAAACCCCUAUUGAAAAGUCAAGUUUACUCCAUGGUUGCUAUUAAAUUUCUGGGGCCAUGUUCAGCAUUUGUUCUUUUCACCCCCGUCAAAUGAACUGGAUAGACUAAGCAACUAAUUGAUUUUCUCCAUAAAAUCUUCAACAAUUUUCUCAUAACCCAAAAUGAUCUCUCCCCUCUAAAUCCAUUAUGAAUCAUCAGGUGGUGUUCGGCUUCCAUAACAAUAGACAAUGUGCCAUUUCCUUGCACAUAAUCCCUGGGUGGCAGGACCUAAGAUUUGUUCGGUUGGCUUAGCUCAUACUUCACAUAGAUUCUGAUCAAGAAAUCUAUUUUCCCCUCUCUGGGAAGCAGGAGAUCCACGGCUGGCUUUCAUGGAAAACAAGCAACCACUUAUCUCAUGGGCUUUCCAGUCUCAAAAGAAAGCCCCACAGCUAUAAUAGGGAGGGUGCUGUAGUAGAGGUUAUAGAAGUAGUAGUAGUAAUAGUCUCAUAGCACCAGUAAUAGGCGUAGUGGCUAACAUUUCACCAAGUAUCAGGUCCGACUUUAAAUACUUUACCUCAUCACAUCCCUAUGAUGUAAGUACUGUCGUAUCCCAUUUUAUAAAUGAGAAGGCUGAGGCACAAAAUAAGGCAGGUAUGUGGGCCCUUGGAAAGUCAGAUUUUGCAGCCACCUUGUAUUGGUCAGACAGUCUUACCACUGUAGCAAACAACCCCACUUCUCAGUAGUGUCACCUAAUGAAGAUUCAUCCCCCAGUCAUAGCACAGUCUGAUGAGAUACUCAGCAGCAUCCUUCCACAAGGUGAUUCAGAAGCCCUGGGCCCUCCCUCCUAGAGGCUCCAUCAUCCUCUGGUCUUUGGAGUUCUCCGUGGACCAUGUCCAGUUGACAGAGAAUAAGGAGGCCUGAAAUAUGGUCUCCUGUGUGAUCAAGAGAAAAAUGAACACAUUGAUGAACACACGGUAUGCUCUCAGAGCAAUCUUAGAAGCGUGGGUCACUUAGGGACAGAGGAUAGACAGCAAGAGAAGAAUGCUGGCCCCGACCACCUCUCCAGUGUGAAUGCCACCUUCCCUCCCUCACCGUUCCCCAAGCAGAGAACCAACAUUCACACAAAUCGGAUUAUGACUUCUCGUGUUUUCAAGAACGGUCAGUCCUCUGAGUCUUCCAGGCCAGAGUCUCCCUCCACAACUAAACGCAGAAGUGGGGUGGAAUAAAGGACAGAGGUACGUGAACUUUCUCUGACUCACCUGGGCUUCGGCCGGAAAUAAGCAAAGUGCUGAUACCUGACGUAGCCGUGACCUGGGCAAGGUAUUGUUUCACAUGAUCCUGUUCCUGAGUGCUUAGGCAAGGCUCGACCAGCCUGAGUCUCACUCUGGCUCCUACCACACCUUGUUUAUUAAGUCAUAAAACUUUCAUGAAGUUAAGCCAGGCAUAGCGGGGCUCAUCUGACUACAGCUACAAGCCUCCAGAAGAGUGCUGGCACUAAGACAGACAUUUGUCGAAGGGUGACUACCUCUCUGCUUGCCAUUCAAUUAUGUCCUGUUUGUUAUGAAUUUUAUUUGAUUCCUCCAUCAGAAUUUCCUUUCCAAUUAUGGAAAGUGAAGAGGUAUCUUAUCAAACAUCAGAUCCAGGACAUUCAGACUUCCAUGUGUCCAGAAGACAAACCCUCGUGUUGCCUUUAAAAUACCUCUCCGCCAGGCACGGUGGCUCACACCUGUAAUCCCAGCACUUUGGGAGGCCGAGGUGGGCGGAUCACCUGAGGUCAGGAGUACGAGACCAGCCUGGCCAACUUGGUGAAACCCUGUCUCUACUAAAAAUACAAAAAUUAGCCAGGCGUGGUGGUGGGUGCCUGUAAUCCCAGCUACUCAGGAGGCUGAGGCAGGAGAAUCGCUUGAACCCUGGAGGUGGAGGGUGCAGUGAGCCGAGAUCGCACCAUUGCACUCCAGCCUGGGCAAGAAGAGUGAGACUCCAUCUAAAAUAAAUAAAUAAAUAAAAUACCUCUCAAAGAUCUUAACUUUGCCUAUUUUUAUUGUUUCAGGAGACACGUAUAUAGUGACGCCACUAUCCAAAGACAUCUUCAAUGAUGCAGCAUCAUUAAUUCAAUGUUUUCUUUUUUUAAAAAAACUUUUGAGUCAACGUAACUUUUUCCCUGACUGUUUUGUUCCUUGAUGUUCUUGCCUUUACCUGGUGUCAAAACCCAUCUGUGAGCACAGUUAGAUAAGGCUUCUCAUUGUUCUCAGGGUGCAUAAAAUCCCUCUCCCUCCCUUCCUUCUCUCCCUCUCCCUGUGCCUUUCUCUGGCUCUCUCUUUUUCUGCCUACCUCAUCUCUACCCUUCCUCCUUCCAGAAGCUUUCAAAUACAAAUUGAGAAAGAAGAAAACUCCCCAAAUAAAACUAUACAAGCAAAUCC
rnacentral:lncRNA from 10 species